UCGUGGGCUCGGAGAUGUGUAUAAGAGACAGACUUUGAAGAGAGAGUUCAAUAGUACGUGAAACUGUGUGGUGGUAAACGGAGGGGUUCUCGAAGUUUCUGCGUGGAACUCAACCUUGGUGUCGGGCGGUCCUGGUGUAUCUGAUCAGCAAUGACUGUGCGCUUGGUUCGGCUUGGCUCCCGGGUGCAUUUUCCAAGCAGUUUACGGCAGGAACCGUUUGGCUCGGACCGAAGGCCUCGGGCGAAGUUGUAGGUAUUUUGCUUGCAGCCCCGGGUGUCCUGGCUCUGCGCUCGACGGGUACGUGAGAGGACUCGUAUAGCGAGCAACGCUCUGUUGCGGUUCUCAUCUCUCUGCCGAGUAGGUCGGCGGCCCCUCCGACCCGUCUUGAAACACGGACCAAGGAGUCUAACAUGUAUGCGAGCCAUUGGGUUGACUAAACCUAGAGGCGCAGUGAAAGCAAAGAGUAGCUUGUCUGCUCGAGGGACGAUCCGCAAGGCGCAGUCCCGUGACAUCCAAUCAACCUCGCAUUGUUGGGUGUACACAGAGUAUAAAUGUUGGGACCCGAAAGAUGGUGAACUAUGCCUGGCCAGGUUGAAGUCAGGGGAAACCCUGAUGGAGGACCGUAGCGAUUCUGACGUGCAAAUCGAUCGUCGGAGCUGGGUAUAGGGGCGAAAGACUAAUCGAACCAUCUAGUAGCUGGUUCCUUCCGAAGUUUCCCUCAGGAUAGCUGGUGCUCGUAAACGAGUUUCAUCCGGUAAAGCGAAUGAUUAGAAGCAUUGGGGGCGAAACGCCCUCAACUUAUUCUCAAACUUUAAAUGGGUGAGAAGUCCGUCUUGCUUGAGUGAAGUCGGACACUGAAUCGGAGUGCCAAGUGGGCCAUUUUUGGUAAGCAGAACUGGCGCUGUGGGAUGAACCAAACGCGGGGUUAAAGUGCCAAAGUAGAAGCUCAUCAGAUCCCACGAAAGGUGUUGGUUGCUUAAGACAGCAGGACGGUGGCCAUGGAAGUCGGAAUCCGCUAAGGAGUGUGUAACAACUCACCUGCCGAAGCAACUAGCCCUGAAAAUGGAUGGCGCUAAAGCUUCUCACUUAUACCCUGCCGUUUAGUCAGAGCUGGCCCUUGAGGCCCUGACGACUGAACGAGUAGGCAGGUCGCAUCGGUGGCGCGGAAGGCUCUGGGUGUGAACCUGGCUGGAGCCGCCGGUGGUGCAGAUCUUGGUGGUAGUAGCAAAUACUCCAGAGAGGCCCUGGAGGACCGAUGUGGAGAAGGGUUUCGUGUGAACAGCCGUUGGACACGAGUCAGUCGAUCCUAAGGCUUAGGGGAAGCCUUAUUUAAUAGAGCGGUGUUUUCUUUCUGAAGCAGACCGCAUCUACAGCCGAAAGGGAAUGAGGUACUUAUUCCUCAACCUGAUAGCGGAACCGAUCCGGGCCCUCGUACCCGACGCGGCAACGCGAAUUGAGCCUGAGACGUCUGCCCUAGCUCUGGGAAGAGUUGUCUUUUCUGCAUAAGCCGCCGAGGCCCUGGAAUUCCUUCGAGGAGAGAAUGGGUUUUGGUCUAGGCAAAGAGUCCAGCAGUUCUCGCUGGAUCCAUGAGUGCAGGGUGGAACCUUGAAAAUCAGGCUGAGGGUUACGGCGGAGUCGCGUCAGCUCGUACCCAUAUCCGCAGCAGGUCUCCUAGGUGAACAGCCUCUGGUCGAUAGAAUAAUGUAGGUAAGGGAAGUCGGCAAAUUGGAUCCGUAACUUCGGGAUAAGGAUUGGCUCUGAGGGCCGGGGUGCUUGGGCUUUGUGGUGGAAGCGGGUUGGCCUACCGGCAGGUCUGGCCGAGCCCUCGGGUGAAGUCGGCCCUGUUUCACAGGCUCCCGUGGAUACCCAUUGCUUUGCGGGCCUGGCGCAAGCCAGUGUCCCGUUCAAGCAUCGAUCAACGGCUAACUCAGAACUGGCACGGACUAGGGGAAUCCGACUGUCUAAUUAAAACAAAGCAUUGCGAUGGUCAGAGAUUGAUGUUGACGCAAUGUGAUUUCUGCCCAGUGCUCUGAAUGUCAAAGUGAAGAGGUUCGUCCAAGCGCGGGUAAACGGCGGGAGUAACUAUGACUCUCUUAAGGUAGCCAAAUGCCUCGUCAUCUAAUUAGUGACGCGCAUGAAUGGAUUAACGAGAUUCCCACUGUCCCUAUCUACUAUCUAGCGAAACCGCAGCCAAGGGAACGGACUUGGGAAGAUCAGCGGGGAAAGAAGACCCUGUUGAGCUUGACUCUAGUCUCCUUUUGUAGAGGAGCAUCUCUGGCGUAGAAUAGGGAGGAGGCUUCGGCCGACAGUGAAAUACUCCUACGGGGAUCGCUCCUCUGCUUACUCGGUUAGGCGAAGUUAGGACCUUCGGGGCCUAUUUCUUGAAUCAAACGGGUGGGCUCUGCCCGCCCGUGAUUCGCUCCGAGGACAUUGUGAGGCGGGGAGUUUGACUGGGGCGGUACAUCUGUCAAAUGAUAACGCAGGUGUCCUAAGGCCAGCUCAGUGAGGACGGAAACCUCACGUUGACCAAAAGGGGAAAAGCUGGCUUGACCUUUCCCUUCAGUACGGGGCAAGGAGCAGAAAUGUCGGCCUAUCGAUCCUCUUUAUUUCGGAGUUUGAAGAAAGAGGUGUCAGAAAAGUUACCACAGGGAUAACUGGCUUGUGGCUGCCAAGCGUUCAUAGCGACGUAGCUUUUUGAUCCUUCGAUGUCGGCUCUUCCUAUCACUGCCUCGCAGCG
rnacentral:rRNA from 1 species